AGAGUUUGAUCCUGGCUCAGGAUGAACGCUAGCUACAGGCUUAACACAUGCAAGUCGAGGGGCAGCAUGUUGGUUGCUUGCAACCAACGAUGGCGACCGGCGCACGGGUGAGUAACGCGUAUCCAACCUACCCUUGUCCAUCGGAUAACCCGUCGAAAGGCGGCCUAACACGAUAUGCGGUUCACAGCAGGCAUCUAACGUGAACGAAAUGUGAAGGAGAAGGAUGGGGAUGCGUCUGAUUAGCUUGUUGGCGGGGUAACGGCCCGACCAAGGCUACGAUCAGUAGGGGUUCUGAGAGGAAGGUCCCCCACACUUGGAACUGAGACACGGUCCAAACUCCUACGGGAGUCA
rnacentral:rRNA from 1 species